GUCGUAACAAGGUUUCCGUAGGUGAACCUGCGGAAGGAUCAUUAAUGAAUUUUAGGACGUUCUUUUUAGAAGUCCGACCAUUUCAUUUUCUUACACUGUGCACACACUUCUUUUUACACACACUUUUAACACAUUAGUAUAAGAAUGUAAUAGUCUCUUAAAUGAGCAUAAACAAAAAUAAAACUUUCAGCAACGGAUCUCUUGGCUCUCGCAUCGAUGAAGAACGCAGCGAAUUGCGAUAAGUAAUGUGAAUUGCAGAAUUCAGUGAAUCAUCGAAUCUUUGAACGCACCUUGCACUCUUUGGUAUUCCGAAGAGUAUGUCUGUUUGAGUAUCAUGAAACUCUCAACCCCCCUAUUUUGUAAUGAAAUGGGCGUGGGCUUGGAUUAUGGUUGUCUGUCGGCGUAAUUGCCGGCUCAACUGAAAUACACGAGCAACCCUAUUGAAAUAGACGGUUUGACUUGGCGUAAUAAUUAUUUCGCUAAGGACGUCUUCUUCAAAUAUAAGAGGUGCUUCUAAUGCGCUUUUAUAGCACUUUAAAAGCUUUAGAUCUCAAAUCAGUCAGGACUACCCGCUGAACUUAAGCAUAUCAAUGUCG
rnacentral:rRNA from 1 species